CCCUCGGCGUGAUUGGCGCGACCGACGCGAUGAGAUUACGCAAAUUUAUUGCUGGUUGGACACACACAGGGCAACGAUUAUACUUGCAAAAACUGAAAUUUCUUUGUGUCACUGUCACUUAUUAAGUUGCAUAUAAUCAAAUUUACAGUCAACCCGAGGGCGCCAUGAAAAAUCAGAGGAGAACGUAGAACCGAAAACUUUGGGCACCGAAAAAAUCAAUCAUCUCAACCAAACUUGAAAGAAAUUAAAUUAUUAUUUCAAAUCGCUGAUAUAUGUAUGUACCUAAAUAGGAAUAGUAGAUCUGUAAGAGUGUUCAAAGCGUCCAUCACCGAAGCUAUGUUUUCUUACUUACUUAUCAUGCUUUAAUAAGAACGCAACCAGUGGAACCGAAAUAUUUCACCCAAGCUCUUUGAUUGAAAACAUCUGCAGUUUAUAUCUUAAACUGGUUGUAGCGUCUACUUUAAAUACAAUGCGGUAUUAUAUCAUAAUGUGUUGGAUAUCAAUUUGGAAUACAUUUUUUCAUAACAAUGUUGCCGAAAUUAAUAUUUAUCUAAAUAUAAACGAUUUACUGAAUAGUGGAAUUAUGCCAUUUAAUCUGUUUUUCAACCCUAUUAUUCGGACUAAUAAAGAACAAAAUACAUAUAAUACAACCAUUUUUCAAAUUAUGAACUAUCACAGACAUUUAAAGCAAAACGUUUUAAUAUCAGGUUACAUUACGAAAAAAAUUUUAAAUUUUAAAAGCCUUGUGAAUCAUUCAACUUUUAAGAGACGAAUUGGACAAUCACCAUAUUAUUUUGAAGGUUCUGUUAAUAAACAAUUAUUUCAGAACGACGCUAUUCAGUACAAAACUUGGCCACAAAGGCACCGAAAAAAUCAAUCAUCUCAACCAAACUUGAAAGAAAUUAAAUUAUUAUUUCAAAUCGCUGAUAUAUGUAUGUACCUAAAUAGGAAUAGUAGAUCUGUAAGAGUGUUCAAAGCGUCCAUCACCGAAGCUAUGUUUUCUUACUUACUUAUCAUGCUUUAAUAAGAACGCAACCAGUGGAACCGAAAUAUUUCACCCAAGCUCUUUGAUUGAAAACAUCUGCAGUUUAUAUCUUAAACUGGUUGUAGCGUCUACUUUAAAUACAAUGCGGUAUUAUAUCAUAAUGUGUUGGAUAUCAAUUUGGAAUACAUUUUUUCAUAACAAUGUUGCCGAAAUUAAUAUUUAUCUAAAUAUAAACGAUUUACUGAAUAGUGGAAUUAUGCCAUUUAAUCUGUUUUUCAACCCUAUUAUUCGGACUAAUAAAGAACAAAAUACAUAUAAUACAACCAUUUUUCAAAUUAUGAACUAUCACAGACAUUUAAAGCAAAACGUUUUAAUAUCAGGUUACAUUACGAAAAAAAUUUUAAAUUUUAAAAGCCUUGUGAAUCAUUCAACUUUUAAGAGACGAAUUGGACAAUCACCAUAUUAUUUUGAAGGUUCUGUUAAUAAACAAUUAUUUCAGAACGACGCUAUUCAGUACAAAACUUGGCCACAAAGGUAUAUUACUCGAGUUUAUUACUAAUAUUUUAAGUUUAGUCCCAUAACUCUUUGUUUGCUAACCGUUCCAGUUAGCGUUCUAAUUUGUAUACCCAUGAAGGGGUAUAUUAAAAUGGGCGUACGUUUUUAACGAACAGAAACAUCUACAACCCUAUAAAAUGUAUAUAUAAUUCAAACCGAGUCGAUAUGUUUCUAUAAACC